rnacentral:rRNA from 1 species
CGUAGGCAGCAAGCGUUGUUCGGAAUUACUGGGCGUAAAGAGUGUGUAGGCGGUGCUCUAAGUUUGGUGUGAAAUCUCCCGGCUUAACCGGGAGGGUGCAUCGAAUACUGGGGUGCUCGAGGGUGGGAGAGGUAAGCGGAAUUCCUGGUGUAGCGGUGAAAUGCGUAGAUAUCAGGAGGAACACCUGUGGUGUAGACAGCUUACUGGACCACUUCUGACGCUGAGACACGAAAGCGUGGGUAGCAAACAGGAUUAGACACCCUGGUAGUCCACGCCCUAAACGAUGCAUACUUGGUGUGAGCCAUUCAUUUGGUUCGUGCGGGAGCUAACGCGUUAAGUAUGCCGCCUGGGGAGUACGGUCGCAAGGCUG